GACUCUCGGCAACGGAUAUCUCGGCUCUCGCAUCGAUGAAGAACGUAGCGAAAUGCUAUACUUGGUGUGAAUUGCAGAAUCCCGUGAACCAUGGAGUCUUUGAACGCAAGUUGCGCCCGAGGCCUCCUGGUCGAGGGCACGUCUGCCUGGGUGUCA
rnacentral:rRNA from 1 species